CUCAUUUCAUAGGGUUUAGACUUUAGACUCACACGCCGAGCUACGUCUCCCUGGCGGGGCGGAGGGGCGGAGUUGGGGGGGAGUUUGAUUCGCUUACCGGCGGUCUCUAAUUCGCUUGGUGCAGGUCGGGAACUGCUUCGCUUUUGCCCUUAGAACACAUACAUGUUUGGGAGUACUGUUUAAGUUUUUUUAGCCAGCUGGCGCGUUGCGAUUGGCUGGCUGGCUGGCAGUGCUCGUGUGGGGGGAAUAUAGGCGAAUUGGAUCCCGCCUUGCAUCAACUGAAUCGGAGACCGCGGUGAAGAGUGGUUGCAUGGAUCUCGCGUUUUACGUUGCAGGUAUUGCAGUUACAGACCAUUUCCAUGUCCACCCUAUAGUUUUUCUAGGCAUCUUCUGUAAUGCACUUUGGACUGUUCAGUAGUGUUUGGUACCCAAAUGGACCUCUCCAUUUAAAGCCAAACAAAGAGAAUCCAAUGGUCCAUAAAAGCUGUAUCGAAUUGGUACAUGGCUCGAUAGAGGGUCAAGAAACAAGAAACCUUAGUAAACCCACAUGGUACCGUUGUGAAUAGUUAGAUCUUAAAAGGGAUCACACUUCCCAUCAAUUGAUGCAGAGACGGCACUGUAGGUGGCAGAAUCGCAGAGAUGUUCAGUUUAUGUCUUAGGCUGACGUGACAAUGUUCAUCCGUGUCAAAGAUCCGAGGCAAUGCAAUAUGGGGCAAGGUAUGCGAGUACAGUGAUGGGCUCAUAGGUGCUUAAUAAGACAAGUAUUGCACUGGAUCUUUAUCCCAGACGAAGGUGGCAGCUAUGAGAUAGAAAAUUUGAAUAAGACUUGGGGGAAUUUGGAGAUGACUUAUGUUGAUAUGACUGCCAUAGUGGAAGCUGAAAUUAGGAUGGAGACAUGGAUGUUGAUUUACCAGAAUGUGCUUGUUGGCUUCUAUUCAUUGUCGUACAUUAUAGUCACAUAGACCACCAUUUUCAAACAUUCUGGGGUCACCUUUUUCCCUUUUCCUGGAAUUUCCUUUUCAAGAAAAUUCUAGAGCGAUUCCUUUGGAAUA